UAAACUGUCAUUCAAGAGUUAGGAUGAAGUAAAAAAAAAAAAUCAGACUAAUGGGAGUUUCUUACCCAUAGACUUUCUUGAAAGAACUACUAACAGAGGUACUUCAACAUAAAGAAAAGGCAAGAGUGUAAGAGUCUGGUGUGAGAAAAAAUAGCAUGAUAAAAAGGCAGAAUCAAACUACAGCCAACUUAUGGUGAGGAGCUCUUCAAACCAUUACUGAAAUUGCCAUUAAGAUACACCUGCUGCACAAGGCAGAAGAAUUAUUUUCACAUCAGCUGCUUUAUCCUGGCUACAUGGACAGAACCAACACAUUGAAGACCAAGUUUAAUUCAUUCAUCCCCAAGAGGAACAUAAAGACUCUCUGUUGUGAUACUAAAUUCAAAAGUAUACUCCAAUCAAAAAUAGUUUUGCUUUAUCUUUUAUGCAUACAUACAACACCAUAAUAUAUAUUCAGCAAAGAUGUAUUACUGUUUCUGUCGUAUCCAAGGAUAUAAAACACAUAGCUAUUCCAGUGAUGGCGCCUUUCAGUUCUUUCUGUAAAGCUUGUUUGUACAUGUAUGUUUUCAUGGACAGACUGCAAGUUAAAAAGUUUAUAUUCUGUCAUUUUCAGUGUCAAAUGCAUCCAAUAUCAAACAUAUCAAGGCUGAUCACAUCAUUAUAAAUUGCUGAUAAGGCUUCUUGUUACCCUUCUAUCACCACUGUCACAAAUUACCACAAACUUAGUGGCUUAUAACAUCCAUUUAUUAUCUCCCAGUUUCAUGCUGAGAUGUCUAAGCACAAGGAGACUCAGUCAGAUCCACUGUGCAGAGCUUCACAAGGUCUAAAUCAAAAUGCUGGCUGAGCUGGCCUCUUAUCUAGAAGCUCUGGGGAAGACUCUGCUUCCAUAGACCAUCAGGUCGUUGGAAGAAUUCAGUUCCUUGUCAUUUUAAUUCAUUUUUAAACGAACUAGAGCAUGUUGAAUCCCUGUUCUUAAAAUCUCUGAUGUCGUCUUCUGCUACCAGCCAGAGAAAAAUCUUGUAAGGACUCAUGUGAUUAUAUUAGGUCCACUUGGAUAAUCCAGGAUAAUCUUACAAUAUUACAGUCAAGUAACUGAUACUUUUACUUAGAUCUUCAAGAUCCCUUUCACUCUGUA